UGGGGAAUUUUGGACAAUGGGGGAAACCCUGAUCUAGCCAUCCCGCGUGUGCGAUGAAGGCCUUCGGGUUGUAAAGCACUUUUGGCAGGAAAGAAACGUCAUGGGUUAAUACCCCGUGAAACUGACGGUACCUGCAGAAUAAGCACCGGCUAACUACGUGCCAGCAGCCGCGGUAAUACGUAGGGUGCAAGCGUUAAUCGGAAUUACUGGGCGUAAAGCGUGCGCAGGCGGUUCGGAAAGAAAGAUGUGAAAUCCCAGAGCUCAACUUUGGAACUGCAUUUUUAACUACCUGGCUAGAGUGUGUGAGAGGGAGGUGGAAUUCCGCGUGUAGCAGUGAAAUGCGUAGAUAUGCGGAGGAACACCGAUGGCGAAGGCAGCCUCCUGGGAUAACACUGACGCUCAUGAACGAAAGCGUGGGGAGCAAACAGG
rnacentral:rRNA from 1 species